CAGCCGUAAACUAUGCGCGUUAGGUGUAUCGGUGACCACGAGUUACCGAGGUGCCGAAGGGAAACCGUGAAACGUGCCGCCUGGGAAGUACGGUCGCAAGGCUGAAACUUAAAGGAAUUGGCGGGGGAGCACCACAACAGGUGGAGCCUGCGGUUUAAUUGGACUCAACGCCGGACAUCUCACCGGAUAAGACAGCUGAAUGAUUGUCAAUCUGAAGACCCUGCAUGACCAGCUGAGAGGAGGUGCAUGGCGUAGUCGUGU
rnacentral:rRNA from 1 species